GUUAGCGGCGGACGGGUGAGUAACACGUGGAUAACCUACCUAUAAGACUGGGAUAACUUCGGGAAACCGGAGCUAAUACCGGAUAAUAUUUUGAACCGCAUGGUUCAAAAGUGAAAGACGGUCUUGCUGUCACUUAUAGAUGGAUCCGCGCUGCAUUAGCUAGUUGGUAAGGUAACGGCUUACCAAGGCAACGAUGCAUAGCCGACCUGAGAGGGUGAUCGGCCACACUGGAACUGAGACACGGUCCAGACUCCUACGGGAGGCAGCAGUAGGGAAUCUUCCGCAAUGGGCGAAAGCCUGACGGAGCAACGCCGCGUGAGUGAUGAAGGUCUUCGGAUCGUAAAACUCUGUUAUUAGGGAAGAACAUAUGUGUAAGUAACUGUGCACAUCUUGACGGUACCUAAUCAGAAAGCCACGGCUAACUACGUGCCAGCAGCCGCGGUAAUACGUAGGUGGCAAGCGUUAUCCGGAAUUAUUGGGCGUAAAGCGCGCGUAGGCGGUUUUUUAAGUCUGAUGUGAAAGCCCACGGCUCAACCGUGGAGGGUCAUUGGAAACUGGAAAACUUGAGUGCAGAAGAGGAAAGUGGAAUUCCAUGUGUAGCGGUUAAAUGCGCAGAGAUAUGGAGGAACACCAGUGGCGAAGGCGACUUUCUGGUCUGUAACUGACGCUGAUGUGCGAAAGCGUGGGAAUCAAACAGGAUUAGAUACCCUGGUAGUCCACGCCGUAAACGAUGAGUGCUAAGUGUUAGGGGGUUUCCGCCCCUUAGUGCUGCAGCUAACGCAUUAAGCACUCCGCCUGGGGAGUACGACCGCAAGGUUGAAACUCAAAGGAAUUGACGGGGACCCGCACAAGCGGUGGAGCAUGUGGUUUAAUUCGAAGCAACGCGAAGAACCUUACCAAAUCUUGACAUCCUUUGACAACUCUAGAGAUAGAGCCUUCCCCUUCGGGGGACAAAGUGACAGGUGGUGCAUGGUUGUCGUCAGCUCGUGUCGUGAGAUGUUGGGUUAAGUCCCGCAACGAGCGCAACCCUUAAGCUUAGUUGCCAUCAUUAAGUUGGGCACUCUAAGUUGACUGCCGGUGACAAACCGGAGGAAGGUGGGGAUGACGUCAAAUCAUCAUGCCCCUUAUGAUUUGGGCUACACACGUGCUACAAUGGACAAUACAAAGGGCAGCGAAACCGCGAGGUCAAGCAAAUCCCAUAAAGUUGUUCUCAGUUCGGAUUGUAGUCUGCAACUCGACUACAUGAAGCUGGAAUCGCUAGUAAUCGUAGAUCAGCAUGCUACGGUGAAUACGUUCCCGGGUCUUGUACACACCGCCCGUCACACCACGAGAGUUUGUAACA
rnacentral:rRNA from 1 species